CGCAUUUGUUUCAAGUUUCGAUUUGCUUUCCUGAGAAAACUUGUAUAUGUAAUCUAUAGUUUGGUACAGAGGAGUAGCUAGCAAAAAGGUUGAACCCAUAAAUAUUAUAUUAGACCACCUGGUGCUCUGAAGCACGCUUCUGAACGAUGGCCACUCAAAAUGAAAAGCAGCUUAAAAGAUAGGGAGAUAUGAAGAUGUGACUAUUGCAAAGAGCAAAUGAAUGGUUGCACAUUAGGGAGAAGGUGUUUGCAGGAACAUCAUUUCUGUUCAAGUUUUAUCUUUUUCUUUUGGCAAAUGCUCAUUCACUCAUAACCUUUAUUUUAGAAGCAGGGAAGCAGGAAAGGGAGAUAAAGGUUUCAGUGGGAGAGCACAAUAGAUGUGAAUAACUCAUUAAUGAGCCUUCUCAAAUAGACAAGAGAAUGCCACUCACCAAGGGGCUACAUUUACAGUUUGAGGCGCAGCACGCAAAAAAAUAGUCCGAUAGCUACGUAACUAUAUUUGCUAUAUUACAGAAUAGUGAUUAAUUUGAAUAGUAAGAAAAUCUAUUUGGUAUUUACUGACAUCCCGUUGUGUGAUUGAAGAUGUGUUGAAUGGCCCAAGAGAGAUGUUUCUGUCUUUGCAUCUCUGUUUUAAACAAAGAUAAAAAGGAAAGGCGGUAGGAGCCUCAGGCUGAGCAGCCACCUCUGUGACAGCAGCCCAGGCUUUGGUGGUCUUGCUUUCACUCAACCUAUUGCUCACGCGAGGGUGAGACACUGCAGAAGUGUUUUACAGCUGAGCACAGACCCACCACAUAACAACCGCAGGUUCUGUCCUGAUGAUUAACGUUGGCUGUUUGAAAUAAUCCAAAUGCUGCUCUCUGAUCUGAUAAAAGAAUAAAUACAUUGGGUGUGAGUGAUGGGAGCUAGGGGGAGGAGCAGGGAGGGGACAGGGACAGGUUUUUGUCAGGCUCAGUUUUCUGAAAAUGGAACAGCUUUUGAGGAAAAAAAACAUAUAUUUUUUUCUACAGAUGUUAUGUGCCAGAAGAUUGCCUCAAUCUACCACUCAUGUUUUACCAGAGCGCUCUACAGCCUGUCUGGGAUGGGAGAGCAGGAGAGAUGUUCCCAGAAAACAGCGGCACAAGCUCUGGUGGCCCUGGAAGGACUUCUGCUGACAGUGCUUCCAAACUUUCAGUGUGCAUCUCUAGAAACAGAGGGAGAGAGAAGCAGCACUUCCAGAUGGGAAGAUAUACUGGAAAUGUGGAGUGUCCAUCUGAAAAGAGACACCUGGACUUAUAGCCAUGAGGACAAAAGGAAUGAACGAGCUGCCUUCAGAUUAUGCUAA
ensembl:lncRNA